rnacentral:rRNA from 1 species
AACGAACGCUGGCGGCAUGCCUAACACAUGCAAGUCGAACGAGACCUUCGGGUCUAGUGGCGCACGGGUGCGUAACGCGUGGGAACCUGCCCUUAGGUUCGGAAUAACUCCCCGAAAGGGGUGCUGAUACCGGAUAAUGUCUUCGGACCAAAGAUUUAUCGCCUUUGGAUGGGCCCGCGUUGGAUUAGCUAGUUGGUAGGGUAAAAGCCUACCAAGGCGACGAUCCAUAGCUGGUCUGAGAGGAUGAUCAGCCACACUGGGACUGAGACACGGCCCAGACUCCUACGGGAGGCAGCAGUGGGGAAUAUUGGACGAGGGGCGAAAGCCUGAUCCAGCAAUGCCGCGUGAGUGAUGAAGGCCUUAGGGUUGUAAAGCUCUUUUACCCGGGAUGAUAAUGACAGUACCGGGAGAAUAAGCACCGGCUAACUCCGUG